UACCCAUGUUGAUUUCCUUAGAGGCAA
rnacentral:piRNA from 1 species